AACGUAGGCGGCGAGCGUUAUCCGGAUUUACUGGGUGUAAAGCGCGUGCAGGCGGUUCUGCAAGUGGGACGUGAAAGCGCCCGGCUCAACCGGGCGAGGCCGUUCCGAACUGCGGGACUGGAGGCAGGUAGAGGCGUGUGGAAUUCCGGGUGUAGUGGUGAAAUGCGUAGAGAUCCGGAGGAACACCAGUGGCGAAGGCGGUCUCUUGGUCCUAUACUGACGCUAAGGCGCGAAAGCGUGGGGAGCAAAC
rnacentral:rRNA from 1 species